GGCACUACCCUUUUUUCCAAUAGCACUCCUCUUUUCUCUCUAUCUUCACCACCUGAUAAAGACACAGAAGGCGAGUGCCAUUAGAGAAAAGGGCCCCCUAUGGAAAACAAAGUUACCAAUCUAAAUCGGCUAAACUGGAAAGGGCUCACAAAUGUUCCAAAACUGGACUGGACUGGGCUGGAGGGAAGGGGAUCUCAGCCCCACAAUACUAGGGUUUUAACACCCAUAGAUCUAUUUAUAUAGAUGACUAUAUGCAUAAGGGUUCCCAAACGCCUCUCUGCCUGCACCUAGAUCAGGAGCUUUGGUCUCUCUCUCUCUCUCUCUCUCUCUCUCUCUCUCUCUCUCUCUCUCUCUCUCUCUCUCUCUCUCUCUCUCUCUCAUCAUUACUGGGGCUGUGAUUAAAAAGAGAGGCUUGAGUGGGCUGUUCUCUUUACCGAGAGCCCAUUCGACGUCAGGAAGAGAUAGUAGACGAUGGAGAUCUAGUGAAUUAGGUGCUGCCCUAGGGUUUGCAUUUGUUGUGUUGAUUGUAGAGGAAGGAAAAUCUAUGAUUUUUGUUUCUCCCUCUGUAACAACAGUGCAUACAUUGAACGUCUAAUUUACUCUUGAUUUCAGUGCAAAUAGAGUUGUUUAAAACUGUGUUUGGUGGUGGAAUUGUUAGGAAAAUCAGGCAGCGGCCAGACAACCGUAGAGAUGGGAUUCCACAGAUGACUGAUUUUUGCUACUUUGGUUGUCUACUGAUUCCAUCUUACAUUUUUAUGUACGAUUGCACUUUAUCUUCUUCCAGAUGAUUUAUAGUUUCGUUGUGAUUUCUGUACAAAAAGAAAAAGUGAAUUGGUAUAUGUGAGAGAUGCAUAAAUAUCUGGCGAGUGUAUUGAAAUCUAUGGAAAGGGAAGUGAUUUUGGCACUACCCUUUUUUCUAAUAGUGCUCAUCUUUUCUCGCUCUCUCACACACACACACACAUGUAUAUAGCAACAUUUUCAUGCCCCUAUUGACUAGGACUAUAUGCAACAAUUUCAAUUGGUUAAAGAUUCAAUAUCAGUCAGUAUACAACUCCAUUUGAUGUAUGCUUAAUCUAUUGCAGUUUGAUUUGAUUUUCUUUGUUUUCCUGUGCCUGAGGUGUUAAUAUGUGAGAUGACUUCAUCUUUUUUGUUUUUGGUUUAUGAUUAUGCAUUUGCAUAGUGGCCUCGGAGAGGAUGUUGAUGGCCGUACUGAAGCAGUUGAUAUUACUGCACCAAACAGACUCACCAAGGUGGCAGUAGUAGUUGGGGAAAUGGAACAUAAGUCUCGGGACUGCAAUGAAGGUGAUCAGGCGGUGGCCGGUAUGUUGCCAUAGGUAGCAGUGGUGGUUGUGGAGGGGGUGGUGGCUACACCUAUCGUUGAGAGAGGGCAUUUUGCCAAAGAAUGCCAAAACAUUUAUGGGUAAGAGAGAAAGGGUUUAAGCGUGUAUGCUCACAUUGUAUCACUCUUGUUUUUACUUUUGUUACUGUUGCUCCGCUACCAUAUGACAGUUGUUUUUGAUCGGCA